rnacentral:sRNA from 1 species
GGCUGUGAGAACAAGCUGACUGUGACAUCUGUCACCCUACUGACUGCCAGAGUUGACUGGGCUGAUCUGGCAGGCUAGACUAAUGUCCCAUCCUCCCUCACCAGUCCAUGUUGUCCCUCCUAUGGCUGUGUACUCUAGGGGACAACCUUUCCUGACAGAGGAGGACCAUUUACCAGUCAGGGCUGUGAGCAGCAGUGGUCUACUGCUGAAACAAGGUGGAGGAAGUACUCAAGCCACUGAAGUGAAAAACAGAGAAGAACCAAUGAAGCCACACAGGCUCUCU